AUAAAACACUAUAAACUUUUGAUUCAACACAUCUUUACUUUGUUUCUCAUCUUAUUUAGUUCGUGGGCUUUGUUUUAAACAUAACUUGGGCUUAAGUACUUUUUAUUUUUUAUUUAUCUUUUUAGACCAUCCCCAUCGGACAAAUUUAGAGGGUAUCUUCAAAUUUUAACAGAAUAAAAAAAUAGAAAAAUGAGAAUUAAUGCGCUUAACAGGAGAGACAAGGUGGCUUUGAUGUCUGUGGGAAGAUAUUUUUUGAUACUGGAAGACACGAAUAUGUCAUCAUGUUAUUGGUUGGUGCUAUUGUUUUUU
rnacentral:sRNA from 1 species